UCUAUUUUCAGACUCAACGCAUUCCAGAGUUGUCUUCCUUACGCAGCCUCCCUCACUCAACCACUUCAACCCUAGAAAAGCCACCAUUGAUUUGAACCACCACAACCUCCACUGCUUCAAUCAAACCCAUUCUCACAUAGCAAAAAUCUCUUUGGCGUCGCACCUCCAUCGUCAUCGGUGCACAGCCAUCGUCAUCGUCGCACGGCCAGAGUCAUCGUCGCACAGCCAUCGUCAUCCCUGCACAGCAGCGUCAUCGUCGAACACCAGCGUCAUCGUCACACACCAGCAUCAUCGUCGCACAGUUGAUUGAUGUUCGAGAAGCCCAAGAAGUCUGAACUGGUUACGUUUGCUUAAAAUGAUACUCGAAUAUCAAGCAAUGUCAUCAACUGAGAAAUAAGCUCUGGUUGGCCAUGCCACGCUGCUGCGGUAACCAGAUUUACAUCAGUGA